UACGUAGGGCGCAAGCGUUAUCCGGAAUUAUUGGGCGUAAAGAGCUCGUAGGCGGUUUGUCGCGUCUGCCGUGAAAGUCCGGGGGCUCAACUCCGGAUCUGCGGUGGGUACGGGCAGACUAGAGUGAUGUAGGGGAGACUGGAAUUCCUGGUGUAGCGGUGAAAUGCGCAGAUAUCGGGAGGAACACCGGUGGCGAAGGCGGUUCUCUGGGCCUUACCUGACGCUGAGGAGCGAAAGCGUGGGGAGCGAACAGG
rnacentral:rRNA from 1 species